UACGAAGGGGGCUAGCGUUGCUCGGAAUGACUGGGCGUAAAGGGCGCGUAGGCGGAUGGUACAGUCAGAUGUGAAAUUCCUGGGCUUAACCUGGGGGCUGCAUUUGAUACGUGUUGUCUAGAGUGAGGAAGAGGGUCGUGGAAUUCCCAGUGUAGAGGUGAAAUUCGUAGAUAUUCGCAAGAACACCAGUGGCGAAGGCGGCUCACUGGCCCGAUACUGACGCUGAUGCACGAAAGCGUGGGGAGCAAACAGG
rnacentral:rRNA from 1 species